ensembl:lincRNA
CAGGAGCCAGCCUUGUCAGAUCCAACUAUUGUCUCACGCAAUAGCAAGGGCUGCCUGAUCGGCCUCAGGCAACAAUGAAACUGAGAAGAGCUGAUGAUAGGGCUCAGUGUGCAUGAACACUGGGCAUUUAGGGCAUGUUAGGUGCACGGCGGGCAUGUAGGACAGCAGGGCACGGGAGCGGCUCCUGAGGUUGACAACAUGGUGCGGAGGUACCCUGAGAAGGAAACGUACGUGGACUAUGGAGUGUACUAGGAACUAGGUGUGAGCCCUCCGCGCGGGGCCUGCUGGGAGCACAGAGCCUCCGGGAGCGCGGGGCAGCGGGAAGUGGUUGGUCCCUGAGAGCAGCGACUGGAAAGGUCUGAUUGCUGAGACAUACAGUUGACACGAAAUAUGAAUGAUUCUAGGCAGCAGUCAUUGUUCUUCAUCACACUUCCAGAUAUACACAAGCUGUGUGCUGUCCCAAUAAUAUUAAGUAACAGAGUGACGGAUACCGACAUUAGGAGUACACAAAUGAAGAUGUGCAGACAGUUGCUACUUUUACAUGAAGAUAUUCUUGCAGCACCUGUACCUGGAAUCUUCAGCCAAAUCUGGGUGGUGAUGGCGAUACCAUUUUUUAAAGCUGGGAUACUUAAUGCUUAUAUUGAAAAAUAUGAAGCUAAGGUGGAGGCUCCACAAAAAGUAAUUCCUGUAAUUCUUCAGAACUGCAUUUCAUAUUCACUCAUGGCUAGACUUGCUCCAGCCUGGAAUCGAGUUGGCCAUCUCUUAGUACAAGGAAAAGAUUUUCUUUCUCAGAUGGGAAAGCAAAGUGCUGUUGUGUUAGACAUCAAUGUAACAGAAACUCAAGUUUGUCUGAGUAUAGAAGUUUGCACUGUCAGACUGCCACCACCUGAGCUAAAAGAAUUUGAUAUUUCUGAGAGUACUAUAGAGAAUUUUCAUACUAAUAAGACUGCUGUCAUUGAAAGACAUUCUAUUUUGAGCAACUGGUGCUACAUUUUGCCAAGUAUGAAAAUGGGACAAAUAAUAAAUAUUCUUCAUGCCUCACCCGCUGACUGUCCAUUUCACUCAUUCAAAGAUUUCCAGAUGCACUGGGAUGACUUGUAUGGCUAUAAACUUCCAGAAGAUGGUAGAAAUAUUAAAAUAUACUGCAGCGUCUACUUCAAAAUGAUUGGAGAAAGGACUUUCACAUACCCUCUCAGUUGUGUUAGAAGUCAGCCCAUACAGUUCUUCCCCAGGGUAGAUUUGGAAGGUGUGUUGAAAAGUUUUCUUUCAGAUUUAAAAUCUAAAUUGCCUCAUAUAUGUGGAUUUCCCAUAAAGAUGACAAGUAAGGCAUGCUACUCUACACAGGAACUAACCAAACCUCAUGUACAGAUUUAUUCAAAACUGUUAUUAUUUUUUGGAUCUCGCUGAAGACUACAUAAACAGGGGCCUACAAGUACAGAUAAUGUGGUUUAGAGAGAAACAAGCAUAGUGAAGACAUUCUACUUAAAAGACAAGUUAUUUUCCUGCAGAGUAAACAACAGGAAAAAAUAAUGUACAUUCCAUCACCACUUAAUAAAUGGAAGCAUGUGCUUACAUGUUUGGUUAACAAGCAAGUGCCUUUUAAUUAUUUAUAUCAAAUCACAAAAUGUAACUCUACAAAACAUUUCAAUAUCUUCUAUAAAAGUCAAGUAUUACAUUUAAAUAUAACUUCAGAGAUGAAAUUAAAAUUAGCUUCCAGAGAACUAUGAAAUGGUUAAUUCUACCUAGACUGGUCACAAGUUUUUCCACCUAUUAAAUGGCAAAUAAGCAGAAUGCAUAGUUGAAAAAUAAGGAUCAAAC